rnacentral:rRNA from 1 species
CGAAAGCCUGACGGAGCAAUACCGCGUGAGGGAGGAAGGCUUUUGGGUUGCAAACCUCUUUUUUCAAGGAAGAAGCAAGUGACGGUACUUGAAGAAUCAGCAUCGGCUAACUCCGUGCCAGCAGCCGCGGUAAUACGGAGGAUGCAAGCGUUAUCCGGAAUCAUUGGGCGUAAAGCGUCCGCAGGUGGCUGUUCAAGUCUGCUGUCAAAGACAGAAGCUUAACUUCUGAAAGGCGGUGGAAACUGAAGAGCUAGAGUAAAGCAGGGGUAGAGAGAAUUCCCAGUGUAGCGGUGAAAUGCGUAGAGAUUGGGAAGAACACCAGUGGCGAAGGCGCUCUACUGGGCUUUAACUGACACUCAGAGACGAAAGCUAGGGGAGCG